rnacentral:tmRNA from 1 species
GGGGGUGUUCCGGAUUCGACCUUUAGUUGGAGCGUCUGGCUGCAUGUCGAGGAUGAUGGUUGGCCUCGCAAAAAUUCCAUCAAAAAAACAAAUGGCACACACGAAGAAAUGCCUCUAGCUGCAUAGUUCAGCUACGUUCCCCUACUGAUGCUCGCUAAGUAGAAGGAGCGACGACUAGCGAGUAUAACUUGGGCGGUUGUCUGCUGCGCCCAAGCCGUACUUCAUCAGCGGGCUGGCUAUUCUAAGCAGCGCGGUUUCGUCGCGGCUGGACCGGCGAGAUUAAAAACGAGAACAAACAUGUAGAUGCCUUUCGCAAAAGCUCAUGGGACGCGGGUUCGACUCCCGCCACCUCCACCA